rnacentral:rRNA from 1 species
AGAAGCAAUGCGGCGACGCAAAGCGGAACUUGAAAGCCUGUCUCAGUUCGGAUUGGAGUCUGCAACUCGACUCCGUGAAGCUGGAUUCGCUAGUAAUCGCGCAUCAGCCAUGGCGCGGUGAAUACGUUCCCGGGCCUUGUACACACCGCCCGUCAAGCCAUGGAAGCCGGGAGUGCCUGAAGUGUGCAACCGCAAGGAGCGCCCUAAGGUAAAACUGGUGACUGGGGCUAAGUCGUAACAAGGUACC